UACGGGGGGGGCAAGCGUUGUUCGGAAUUACUGGGCGUAAAGGGCUCGUAGGCGGCCAACUAAGUCGGAUGUGAAAUCCCCCGGCUCAACCGGGGAAGGGGCCUCGAAACGGGUCGCCUCGAGGCGAGGAGGGGGACCUGGAACGUCCGGUGGAGCGGUGAAAUGCGUUGAGAUCGGACGGAACACCAACGGCGAAAGCAAGGUCCUGGACUCGUACUGACGCUGAGGCGCGAAAGCCAGGGGAGCGAACGGG
rnacentral:rRNA from 1 species